rfam:Triticum aestivum genome assembly, contig: Triticum_aestivum_CS42_TGACv1_scaffold_249768_3DL
CUACUACUCCCUCCGUCCGGAAAUACUUGUCAUCAAAAUGGAUAAAAGAAGAUAUAUCUAGAACUAAAAUACAUCUAGAUACAUCCCCAUUUAUUCAUUUUGAUGACAAGUAUUUUCGGGCGGAGGGAGUACUUC